UGGGGAAUUUGGACAAUGGGCGCAAGCCUGAUCCAGCCAUGCCGCGUGCGGGAAGAAGGCCUUCGGGUUGUAAACCGCUUUUGUCAGGGAAGAAAUCCUUUGAGCUAAUACCUCGGGGGGAUGACGGUACCUGAAGAAUAAGCACCGGCUAACUACGUGCCAGCAGCCGCGGUAAUACGUAGGGUGCAAGCGUUAAUCGGAAUUACUGGGCGUAAAGCGUGCGCAGGCGGUUAUGCAGGACAGAGGUGAAAUCCCCGGGCUCAACCUGGGAACUGCCUUUGUGACUGCAUAGCUAGAGUACGGUAGAGGGGGAUGGAAUUCCGCGUGUAGCAGUGAAAUGCGUAGAUAUGCGGAGGAACACCGAUGGCGAAGGCAAUCCCCUGGGCCUGCACUGACGCUCAUGCACGAAAGCGUGGGGAGCAAACA
rnacentral:rRNA from 1 species